rnacentral:tRNA from 2 species
GCCGGGGUGGCCGAGCUAGGUCCAAGGCGCAGGACUCGAGAUCCUGUCCCCGCAAGGGGGCCCGGGUUCAAAUCCCGGCCCCGGCACCA